rnacentral:lncRNA from 1 species
CAUCAAUCUAUUAUAUAAAAAUAAAGGUAUGAUGGCUGUGAAUCUGUCAUGUGUCAUCGUUUGAAAUAUAAUCUUAAUAAAAUCUCAACUGAAAAAAAAAAAGAAGAUUUAAUCCUCUCUUUAAAUCUCAUCGUUUGAAAUCUGACUCCUUAAUUUAAAAUUUAAAAUUUUUCUCUACCAACCCAUCAACCAAUAUUAAAUUUUAAAAUCAAAUC